GAAACACCGGUUCUCGUUCGAUCACCGAAGUUAAGCAGCGUAAAGUACUUAGAUGGGGAGCGCUUGGGAACACCUGGUACUGUAAG